GACGAACGCUGGCGGCGUGCCUAACACAUGCAAGUCGAACGAGGUCCAUGAGAGCUUGCUCUUUGAAGACCUAGUGGCGAACGGGUGAGUAACACGUGAGGAAUCUGCCCCGGACUCUGGGAUAACUCGAGGAAACUCGAGCUAAUACCGGAUGCCCUCCUCGGGUCGCAUGGCCUGAUGAGGAAAGUUUUUCGGUCUGGGAGGACCUCGCGGCCUAUCAGCUAGUUGGUGAGGUAACGGCCCACCAAGGCUACGACGGGUAGCUGGUUUGAGAGAAUGAUCAGCCACACUGGGACUGAGACACGGCCCAGACUCCUACGGGUGCUG
rnacentral:rRNA from 1 species